ACACAUGCAAGUCGAACGGGAUCCAUCGGGCUUUGCCUGGUGGUGAGAGUGGCGAACGGGUGAGUAAUGCGUGACCGACCUGCCCCAUGCACCGGAAUAGCUCCUGGAAACGGGUGGUAAUGCCGGAUGCUCCAUCACACCGCAUGGUGUGUUGGGAAAGCCUUUGCGGCAUGGGAUGGGGUCGCGUCCUAUCAGCUUGAUGGCGGGGUAACGGCCCACCAUGGCUUCGACGGGUAGCCGGCCUGAGAGGGCGACCGGCCACAUUGGGACUGAGAUACGGCCCAGACUCCUACGGGAGGCAGCAGUGGGGAAUAUUGCACAAUGGGCGCAAGCCUGAUGCAGCGACGCCGCGUGAGGGAUGGAGGCCUUCGGGUUGUAAACCUCUUUUGUUAGGGAGCAAGGCUUUUUUUGUUUAGUGU
rnacentral:rRNA from 1 species